UCGUGUCUAGUACUACGCUGAUGCCAGCCCGGGGGUGACUACACCAAUGCCCUGUGCGGCAUCCAGGAUCCGGGCAUAGCCGCUGGGCCGGGCUGUGUGGACCGCUGACCCAGCACAGGGAGAAAGCCCAGGUGCAUCUGCAUGGUGCCCGUGGAAGUGUGGCCGCUCGAGCACCAGGCUUGCCAGGAGGACAGCCGUGGUGGGUGCAGCGUUCGCUUUGCUGGGAGGACUUCUCAAUGUGGUGCCGACCUGGGGAGGACAGCAUCACCGUGACAGCUCCACGCCCUGCGCCGUGCAGAGUCACAACUCACCUGGGAGACCGCUUGGACCCUUGGCCAAUUCCGCACUGGGGCUUGGGUGUUGGCUACCUGCAGACCAAGCCACCUCCUCUUGACCACAGAAUUGGAGAUUUAUUCAAGAACUCUCCCAAGGCACUGACUUCAGGAUGCAAACCGUUAUUCCU